UACGAGGGGUGCGAGCGUUGUUCGGAAUUAUUGGGCGUAAAGGGUGUGUAGGCGGCCUGUCAAGUCUGAUGUGAAAUCCCUGGGCUCAACCCAGGGCCUGCAUCGGAAACUGUCGGGCUUGAGUAUGGGAGAGGUGAGUGGAAUUUCCGGUGUAGCGGUGAAAUGCGUAGAUAUCGGAAGGAACACCUGUGGCGAAAGCGGCUCACUGGACCAUUACUGACGCUGAGGCACGAAAGCUAGGGGAGCAAACAGG
rnacentral:rRNA from 1 species